UACGAGAGGCGCAAACGUUAUUCGGAUUUACUGGGCUUAAAGAGUUCGUAGGCGGCGCAGAAAGUAGGGUGUGAAAGCCCUCGGCUCAACCGAGGAAUUGCGCUCUAAACUACUGUGCUUGAGGAAGCUAGAGGUGAGCGGAACUGAUGGUGGAGCGGUGAAAUGCGUUGAUAUCAUCAGGAACACCGGAGGCGAAGGCGGCUCACUGGGGCUUAUCUGACGCUGAGGAACGAAAGCCAGGGGAGCGAAACGGG
rnacentral:rRNA from 1 species